UGGGGUGUCGUCCAAUGGUAGGACAUGCGGCUCUGGACCGUAGGAUCGGGGUUCGAAUCCCUGCACCCCAGCCA
rnacentral:tRNA from 3 species